GCACCCGGCCCUGCCGCGCUCAGCGCCGCGCCCUGCUUCCAGCGCGGGCCUCGGGACGUGCAGACGUGCCCGGGCCGUGUGCUCCCGGGCCGCGAUGUUUGUCCGAUUUUUGCUCGUUGAGCCAGGCUCUAAGUAAACAGGCUGGCCUUGAACUCACUGUGUAGCCCUGGCUGGAGCGCGUGGCGAGCCUCCCGCCUCAGCCUCCCGGGUGCUGGGGUUACCGGCGUGCGCCGCCACGCCCGUCCUUCCCGGGGUACAUUCUUAAGUGUACAGUCACCUUAUUGCAAGCAUCAGAAACCGAAAAACACUUUCAACCUUUCCACAUGAUUUCACGGAGAGAUUAAAACCGCCUCAGCAAGCAUAGCCACCCAGUAGCGCAGUGCCCUCCGCCUAACUCGCUGUGGACGCACCGCUUUCCAAAAGUCCUGUUCAUGUAAACGCCUUUAUUUUCUGCCGUCCCCCUGAUGGUGACUGCGUUUUUAGCAUAAAUCUAGAGCAAGAUUAGAGGAGACUUGGCCUUGUGGGGCUUUCCGUUGGCUUGGUUUCUGAGACAUUGUUACCUGGAGGGGUCUCCAGCUGCUGGCUCAGAGCACCCGAGCGCCCCCCACUCCCUCGCUAGUAGCGGGGAUCAAGGUCUGGCUUUGCAGCUCAAGCUGGUCUCGAACUCGAAGCAAUCGUCCUGCCUCAGCCACUCCAGAGCUGGCUGGGAUUACAGGUGUGUACCACCAUCCUCGGCUAAACAUUAUUAUUUCAGAUUAAGAUUUGGCCACCUUGACAGAAUUGGUUCCAUGCCUUCUGUAGCAGUGUACACCUCAGCCAGGCGUGGUGGCGCACACCUGUAAUCCCUACACUGAGGAGGCUGAGGCAGGAGGAUC
rnacentral:lncRNA from 1 species